rnacentral:snRNA from 1 species
GAGAUAGGUUACAUGACCAA